rnacentral:rRNA from 1 species
GAAUUCGCCCUUAGAGUUUGAUCCUGGCUCAGGAUGAACGCUGGCGGCGUGCCUAACACAUGCAAGUCGAGCGAUUCUCUUCGGAGAAGAGCGGCGGACGGGUGAGUAACGCGUGGGUAACCUGCCCUGUACACACGGAUAACAUACCGAAAGGUAUGCUAAUACGAGAUAACAUAAGAAAUUCGCAUGUUUUUCUUAUCAAAGCUCCGGCGGUACAGGAUGGACCCGCGUCUGAUUAGCUAGUUGGUGAGGUAAUGGCUCACCAAGGCGACGAUCAGUAGCCGACCUGAGAGGGUGAUCGGCCACAUUGGAACUGAGACACGGUCCAAACUCCUACGGGAGGCAGCAGUGGGGAAUAUUGCACAAUGGGCGAAAGCCUGAUGCAGCAACGCCGCGUGAGCGAUGAAGGCCUUCGGGUCGUAAAGCUCUAUCAGCAGGGAAGAUAAUGACGGUACCUGACUAAGAAGCACCGGCUAAAUACGUGCCAGCAGCCGCGGUAAUACGUAUGGUGCAAGCGUUAUCCGGAUUUACUGGGUGUAAAGGGAGCGCAGGCGGUGCGGCAAGUCUGAUGUGAAAGCCCGGGGCUCAACCCCGGUACUGCAUUGGAAACUGUCGUACUAGAGUGUCGGAGGGGUAAGCGGAAUUCCUAGUGUAGCGGUGAAAUGCGUAGAUAUUAGGAGGAACACCAGUGGCGAAGGCGGUCUACUGGGCACCAACUGACGCUGAGGCUCGAAAGCAUGGGUAGCAAACAGGAUUAGAUACCCUGGUAGUCCAUGCCGUAAACGAUGAUUACUAGGUGUUGGGGGAUUGACCCCCUCAGUGCCGCAGUUAACACAAUAAGUAAUCCACCUGGGGAGUACGACCGCAAGGUUGAAACUCAAAGGAAUUGACGGGGGCCCGCACAAGCAGUGGAGUAUGUGGUUUAAUUCGAAGCAACGCGAAGAACCUUACCAGGUCUUGACAUCCGAUGCAUAACACAGAGAUGUGUGAAAUCCUUCGGGACAUCGAGACAGGUGGUGCAUGGUUGUCGUCAGCUCGUGUCGUGAGAUGUUGGGUUAAGUCCCGCAACGAGCGCAACCCUUAUUGCCAGUUACUACGUUAAGAGGACUCUGGCGAGACUGCCGUUGACAAAACGGAGGAAGGUGGGGAUGACGUCAAAUCAUCAUGCCCUUUAUGACCUGGGCUACACACGUACUACAAUGGCGUUAAACAAAGAGAAGCAAGACCGCGAGGUGGAGCAAAACUCAAAAACAACGUCUCAGUUCAGAUUGCAGGCUGCAACUCGCCUGCAUGAAGUCGGAAUUGCUAGUAAUCGCGGAUCAGCAUGCCGCGGUGAAUACGUUCCCGGGCCUUGCACACACCGCCCGUCA